rnacentral:rRNA from 1 species
GAGCGGAUGACGGGAGCUUGCUCCUUGGUUCAGCGGCGGACGGGUGAGUAAUGCCUAGGAAUCUGCCUGGUAGUGGGGGACAACGUUUCGAAAGGAACGCUAAUACCGCAUACGUCCUACGGGAGAAAGCAGGGGACCUUCGGGCCUUGCGCUAUCAGAUGAGCCUAGGUCGGAUUAGCUAGUUGGUGGGGUAAUGGCUCACCAAGGCGACGAUCCGUAACUGGUCUGAGAGGAUGAUCAGUCACACUGGAACUGAGACACGGUCCAGACUCCUACGGGAGGCAGCAGUGGGGAAUAUUGGACAAUGGGCGAAAGCCUGAUCCAGCCAUGCCGCGUGUGUGAAGAAGGUCUUCGGAUUGUAAAGCACUUUAAGUUGGGAGGAAGGGCAGUAAGUUAAUACCUUGCUGUUUUGACGUUACCGACAGAAUAAGCACCGGCUAACUCUGUG